AGGAAAAGAAACCAACAGGGAUUGCCCUAGUAACGGCGAGUGAAGCGGCAACAGCUCAAAUUUGAAAUCUGGCGCAAGCCCGAGUUGUAAUUUGUAGAGGAUGCUUCUAGGUAGCGACCGGUCUAAGUUCCUUGGAACAGGACGUCAUAGAGGGUGAGAAUCCCGUAUGUGACUGGCCCGCACCUUCUACGUAGCUCCUUCGACGAGUCGAGUUGUUUGGGAAUGCAGCUCUAAAUGGGAGGUAAAUUUCUUCUAAAGCUAAAUACCGGCCAGAGACCGAUAGCGCACAAGUAGAGUGAUCGAAAGAUGAAAAGCACUUUGGAAAGAGAGUUAAAAAGCACGUGAAAUUGUUGAAAGGGAAGCGCUCACAACCAGACUUCUAGGCAGUGUUCCGCCGGUCUUUUGACCGGUCUACUCUCUGUCUCGAGGCCAACAUCAUCUGGGACCGCCGGAUAAGACCUUAGGAAUGUAGCUCCCCUCGGGGAGUGUUAUAGCCUCUGGUGAUGCGGCGCGUCUCGGGUGAGGUCCGCGCUUCGGCAAGGAUGUUGGCGUAAUGGUUGUCAGCGGCCCGUCUUGAAACACGGACCAAGGAGUCUAACAUCUAUGCGAGUGUUCGGGUGUCAAACCCCUACGCGUAAUGAAAGUGAACGGAGGUGGGAAGCGUAAGCUGCACCAUCGACCGAUCCUGAUGUCCUCGGAUGGAUUUGAGUAAGAGCAUAGCUGUUGGGACCCGAAAGAUGGUGAACUAUGCCUGAAUAGGGUGAAGCCAGAGGAAACUCUGGUGGAGGCUCGCAGCGGUUCUGACGUGCAAAUCGAUCGUCAAAUUUGGGUAUAGGGGCGA
rnacentral:rRNA from 1 species